ACUGUUAUUUCUAGUGUUGGAUGGAAUUUGUAUGUUUUGAGCAGUCUUUUGAGAGUGCAAGAUUGCAUAUUGUUGUUAUCAAUUAAUGAAGGAGUAUUAUUAAUGAGAGAAAGUAUUGUAGUGUUCUUUGGUAUUUUAGUAGUUCAAAAUAUGAUAAAUUGUGUGAUUCUAAUAUAUAAGCUCAUGCGAAUAGUCUUUC
rnacentral:lncRNA from 1 species